UCCGUCCAAGUCGAUCCGCGCACGUCGGGCGUCCAUCGCACAGCCGUCUCUCGCAGUCGCCGUCCGAAGCCGAUCCACCGCGCUCCUGCAAGCCGAAGCCGUGUCGGCCAGCCGAAGCCGAGUCGCGCCGCUUCGAUCCGACGCAGAUCAAGCCGAAGCCUCCGUCUGGAGCCGUCCCGAGCGAAGCCGUAGUUUUAAGCCGGACCGCCGCAACCCGUCGCACCACCCUAGUCCGAAAGUCAGCGUCACGUUGCGCGAAGACCCGACCCGGCCGAAGCUCCCCGCGACCCGAUCGCCCCGCGCAGCCCAGCCGCACCGUGUCCAACCUAUCAAGCCGAGCCGCACGCGCGCAACUCCUUUGCCGAGCCGAGCCGCACGCGCGCAGCUCCUGCGCCGAGCCGAGCCGCGCCUACUACUGAGCCGAGCCGCGCCUGCACACGAGCCGAUCCUUGCUCUUCCAGCCAAUCAAGCUGAGCCGAUCCCUACCUUUUGGAGCCACACAAAUUUUGGCCGUUCCCCACGUUCCUUGGGGGCCGGUUGGACAAAUUGGUGUUGGAGCGUGGGAUUCUUUCUCGACUUAAAGGGAGUUAGCGCAACCUUGAUUUUGGGGGUCCUGCUGCUUGGAAAGCACACCUUUUCUUACUUUUAGAAUUCGCCAAGUAAAUCUCCAGGUAGAGGACGAGGCAAGGGCAAAGGCAAGCUGGCGAGCGACCCGAAGUGACCGUGGCGAGCCAUAGGGACUUCUGCUUCCGCUUAUUCUUUUUUUAGUACCUGAGUUUGAGUAUUCUUCAUUAUUUACCAUCUUUUAUGUAGA